CACAAUUGCUAGACUGCUGAGAGGACAAGGGAGAUGUCAAUUAUGAUGAAGAAGGAAGGGCUUCUAAAACCUCACUUUCUAAGCUGUGCAGAGUUUGCUGCAGCACAGAAGGUUACUGAGUGACUCAAACCAAGCCUGGAAGCAAGAUACUCUUGCAAAGAUAUAUGAGGCAAUGGGGGUUAUUUCAUCAUUUAUGUGAAACUGGCCAGCUCCAAAGGAGGACUAGAGAUUUCAGUGCAAUCCACAAUUAAACUGGCUUAAAUGGAGUGAAAGAUGCUUCUGCCUUCAGUAAAUUUGAUAAAUUUUCUGAAAGAGAAAAACAAAAAAUGUGCAGUCUUUGGAAGGCACACUGGGUUGCUGUCAUCAUUUAUCUACUUAAAAGCUCUGUGAAGAAGGAAUCCAGAGAACAGCAGAGCUGCUCCACAUGACUGUAAAUUGUUCUGAGGCUGCACCAAACCUUGAAAACUGGGAGUACACAUUGGAUUUAAUGGCUGUUCAGUUCCCUUUAGUUCUUAUGCUCAUCUUCCUUGAAAGUUGCAGGCAGAACAGAUAACAUGCCAUCAUUCCCUCAGCACUGGGCCUUAUGUUCAGAGUCAAAUAGAAUAAGGUACAAAUCUUUUGGUUCUGCUUACAUUCCUUAUUUAUACAACACAGUCAUAAUCAAUGAGUAGUGUGAACUAAAGAGAAAUAAUAGCAGCCCCCUAGUGUACCAGAUACAGGGAAGACUGAGUGUUGAAAUCUUCUGAAGGAAUUUCUGUGGUCCUUUUCACUGUCUUGCAGAAUAGGUGCUGCCUUACAGCCAUAGACUUGUUCUUGCUCUGAUUUCUGAUAAUUUUAAUGCACUACACUUUUCAGCUUUCUACUCCCAUCCUUCCGUGCUUGAACUCAGAAAAGAGGCCAUUAAACAUGAGUAUUUCAGGCUUAGCAUAAAUUUCUCAUUUGAAAUAAGGAGCUAUAGGUUAGGAAUUCCCUGCACACUG
rnacentral:lncRNA from 1 species